rnacentral:rRNA from 1 species
UACAGAGGUCCCAAGCGUUGUUCGGAUUCACUGGGCGUAAAGGGUGCGUAGGUGGUCGGGUAAGUCUGAUGUGAAAUCUUCGAGCUCAACUCGAAAAUGGCAUUGGAUACUAUUCGGCUGGAGGGUUGGAAGGGGGACUGGAAUUCUCGGUGUAGCAGUGAAAUGCGUAGAUAUCGAGAGGAACACCGGUGGCGAAGGCGAGUCCCCGGACAAUUCCUGACACUGAGGCACGAAAGCUAGGGGAGCAAACAGG